rnacentral:lncRNA from 1 species
CACCCAAAGAACCUGUUGCCUAUGCACCCUGUGCUGCGAGAGACACUUAUAUAAAGUGGCUCAAUUAUCAUACUACAGUGCAUUGUAUCAUGAGGAUGGCCAUGAAUGAUGAACUUAGCCGUAAGUUCGAAGAUGUGCAAUCCAAAGAGAUGAUUUAAUUAUUGAAUGAGUCCUUCGACACCCCUGAGAAUGCUGAGAGACAUAAGACC